UACAGAGGGUGCAAGCGUUGUUCGGAAUUAUUGGGCGUAAAGGGAGUGUAGGCGGCUAGGUAAGUCUUCUGUGAAAUCUACGGGCUUAACUCGUUAAAGUGCAGAAGAUACUGCUUGGCUUGAGUGUCGGAGAGGAUAGUGGAAUUCCCGGUGUAGAGGUGAAAUUCGUAGAGAUCGGGAGGAACACCAGUGGCGAAGGCGACUAUCUGGCUGACAACUGACGCUGAGACUCGAAAGCAUGGGGAGCAAACAGGAUUAGAUACCCUGGUAGUCCAUGCCGUAAACGAUGAUAACUAGAUGUGUGAGGUAUUGACCCCUUACGUGUCGUAGCUAACGCGAUAAGUUAUCCGCCUGGGGAGUACGGCCGCAAGGUUAAA
rnacentral:rRNA from 1 species